AUGAGGUGUGGAUAGCGGAGAAAUUCCAAUCGAACCCGGAGAUAGCUGGUUCUCCCCGAAAUAGCUUUAGGGCUAGCGUCGAGGUAAGUUGCGUGAAGGUAGAGCACUGAAUAUGUGAUGGCCCCAUCUCGGGGUACUGAGCAUAAUCAAACUGCGAAUGUCACGCCAACAUGCUCGGCAGUCAGACAGCGGGUGAUAAGGUCCGUUGUCAAGAGGGAAACAGCCCAGACCAUCAGCUAAGGUCCCAAAAUGUAUGCUAAGUGGAAAAGGAUGUGGAGAUGUACAGACAACUAGGAGGUUGGCUCAGAAGCAGCCAUCCUUUAAAGAGUGCGUAACAGCUCACUAGUCGAAUGACUCUGCGCCGAUAAUUUACCGGGGCUAAGCAUACUACCGAAGCUAUGGAUCCCAAGGGAUGGUAGGGGAGCGUUCCAUGAACGGAGAAGUACGACCGAAAGGACGUGUGGAGAUCAUGGAAGAGAGAAUGCCGGUGUGAGUAGCGGAACGUGGGUGAGAAUCCCACGCACCGAAAACCCAAGGUUUCCAGAGGAAGGUUCGUCCGCUCUGGGUAAGUCGGGACCUAAGGCGAGGCCGAAAGGCGUAGUCGAUGGACAACAGGUAGAGAUUCCUGUACCCGUAUAUAUGUGAAGGAAUGACGGAGAGAGGAAGCUGCAGCCAGCGGCUGGAAGAGCUGGUGCAAGCGAGAUAUCGGGAUGGCAGGCAAAUCCACCAUCCGAAACGAGAAGGCGUGAAGCGUACGGAAAGCUACGGCGAGUACGGAAGGCAGUGGAGGAACUUCCAAGAAAAGUUUCUAACGUUAAGUAUAUAUGGCCCGUACCGAAAAUGGACACACAUGGGUGAGGAGAGAAUCCUAAGGUGAGCGAGAGAACUAUAGCUAAGGAACUCUGCAAAAUGACUCCGUAACUUAGGGAGAAGGAGUGCUCAUAGAGAUAUGAGCCGCAGUGAAACGGCCCAAGCGACUGUUUACCAAAAACACAGCUCUCUGCUAAGCCGCAAGGCGAAGUAUAGGGGGUGACGCCUGCCCGGUGCUGGAAGGUUAAGGGGAGGGGUUAACGCAAGUGAAGCCCUGAACUGAAGCCCCAGUAAACGGCGGCCGUAACUAUAACGGUCCUAAGGUAGCGAAAUUCCUUGUCAGGUAAGUUCUGACCCGCACGAAAGGCGUAACGAUUUGGGCGCUGUCUCAGCUGUAGACUCGGUGAAGUCUUAGUACCUGUGAAGAUGCAGGUUACCCGCGACUAGACGGAAAGACCCCAUGGAGCUUCACUGCAGGUUGAUAUUGGGAUUUGAUGCAGCAUGUACAGGAUAGGUAGGAGGCAAAGAGAUGGAUACGCCAGUAUUCAAGGAGCCGCUGUUGGGAUACUACCCCUGUUGUAUUGGAUUUCUAACCGGACGACGUAGAGCCGUUGACGGGACAGUGUCAGUCGGGCAGUUUGACUGGGGCGGUCGCCUCCCAAAGAGUAACGGAGGCGCCCAAAGAUACCCUCAGCUUGGAUGGAAACCAAGCGCAGAGUGCAAAGGCAAAAGGGUGUUUGACUGCGAGACCCACAAGUCGAGCAGGGACGAAAGUCGGGCUUAGUGAUCCGGCGGUGCUGAAUGGAAAGGCCGUCGCUCAACGGAUAAAAGCUACCCUGGGGAUAACAGGCUGAUCUCCCCCAA
rnacentral:rRNA from 1 species